GCAGUGGUGUAUUUGUGUGCAUUGUUAAUGUUGGAAUGCAGGGUUGUAUUUGUGUGCAAUGUUAGCUGGGAUGUAUGCAUUGCCACACGCACAGAUACACACUUACACAUACUGACACUCAUACACACACAGGUACAUAUACACAGACAAGCAGGUACACAUACAAACUGACACAUAGGUAUACAUACACACAGAUACACAUAAACACUGACACAAAAGGUACAUGUACACUGACACAAACACAGCCAUAUAAACACACACUGACACAAACAGCCAGAUACACACUUACACACACACAGUCAGAUACAGACACACAC